UACGAAGGGUGCAAGCGUUACUCGGAAUUACUGGGCGUAAAGCGUGCGUAGGUGGUUCGUUAAGUCUGUCGUGAAAGCCCCGGGCUCAACCUGGGAAUGGCGAUGGAUACUGGCGGGCUAGAGUGCGGUAGAGGAGAGUGGAAUUCCCGGUGUAGCAGUGAAAUGCGCAGAUAUCAGGAAGAACACCCGUGGCGAAGGCGGCUCUCUGGGACGGUACUGACGCUGAGACGCGAAAGCGUGGGGAGCGAACAGG
rnacentral:rRNA from 1 species